CCCGACUGCUAUCGGAUUGAGAUUUAGCCAUGCUAGUCGAACGUUCCCCUGUUGCGGGGGGCGUGGCGUACGGCUCAGUAACACGUAGUCAACCUGCCCUGGAGACAUGAAUAACCCCGGGAAACUGGGAUUAAUACAUGAUAGGUCAUCUCAUCUGGAAGGAGAGAUGGCUUAAAGGGGUGUGCGAGCUUCUUUCGUAUACUUGCUCCAGGAUGGGACUGCGACUGAUCAGGCUGUUGGCGGGGUAAUGGCCCACCAAACCAGUAACCAGUACGGGCCUUGAGAGAGGGGGCCCGGAGAUGGACACUGAGAGAAGGGUCCAGGUCCUACGGGGCGCAGCAGGCGCGAAACCUUCGCAAUGCGCGAAAGCGUGACGAGGUUAAUCCGAGUGGUUCCCGCUGAGGGAAUCUUUUGUUGGCUCUAAAACGGCCAGUGAAUAAGGGGAGGGCAAGUCCGGUGU
rnacentral:rRNA from 1 species